UACUGCAAGUUCGAGCCGGACAGUAUGGGAGCUUGCUCCCUGAUGUUAGCGGCGGACGGGUGAGUAACACGUGGGUAACCUGCCUGUAAGACUGGGAUAACUCCGGGAAACCGGGGCUAAUACCGGAUGCUUGUUUGAACCGCAUGGUUCAAACAUAAAAGGUGGCUUCGGCUACCACUUACAGAUGGACCCGCGGCGCAUUAGCUAGUUGGUGAGGUAAUGGCUCACCAAGGCAACGAUGCGUAGCCGACCUGAGAGGGUGAUCGGCCACACUGGGACUGAGACACGGCCCAGACUCCUACGGGAGGCAGCAGUAGGGAAUCUUCCGCAAUGGACGAAAGUCUGACGGAGCAACGCCGCGUGAGUGAUGAAGGUUUUCGGAUCGUAAAGCUCUGUUGUUAGGGAAGAACAAGUACCGUUCGAAUAGGGCGGUACCUUGACGGUACCUAACCAGAAAGCCACGGCUAACUACGUGCCAGCAGCCGCGGUAAUACGUAGGUGGCAAGCGUUGUCCGGAAUUAUUGGGCGUAAAGGGCUCGCAGGCGGUUCCUUAAGUCUGAUGUGAAAGCCCCCGGCUCAACCGGGGAGGGUCAUUGGAAACUGGGGAACUUGAGUGCAGAAGAGGAGAGUGGAAUUCCACGUGUAGCGGUGAAAUGCGUAGAGAUGUGGAGGAACACCAGUGGCGAAGGCGACUCUCUGGUCUGUCUG
rnacentral:rRNA from 1 species